rnacentral:rRNA from 1 species
UACGUAGGCGGAAUAUUAAGUCAGUGGUGAAAUCCUGCGGCUCAACCGUAGAACUGCCAUUGAUACUGAUAUUCUUGAAUGUAGUUGAGGUAGGCGGAAUGUGUAAUGUAGCGGUGAAAUGCUUAGAUAUUACACAGAACACCGAUUGCGAAGGCAGCUUACUAAACUACGAUUGACGCUGAUGUACGAAAGCGUGGGGAGCGAACAGGAUUAGAUACCCUGUAGUCC